rnacentral:lncRNA from 1 species
AUGAUCAGUCCCAUGAUUUGAAACACCAGUUGAAGUGCUACACGGGAAUUAAUGCAUUUACAAUGUAAAGAAGUACUCAUCCAGGGACGUGAAACUGGCUGAUAAUUGAAUGUUCUACUUCUCAAGUUUAAAGAAAAGAGAAGC